AGACAGGAUACAUCAGUUUAAUCUGUCAAAACAAAACGAUAAAAAUCUCUGAUCUAAAAUUUGUUUUCAAAUAUAGAACAAACGGCACGGGUCAUUGUUGUAGGGUUUUUCCCGUUCUCCAGUUAAUUUGCACAUACAAGAUAUUUAAGUGAGAACAACUUAUACAGCAACAAAUUUUGAGAGUAUUCGCAUUGGCUUACCAAACGACAGGGGAAAUUCAGGCCUAUUAUACAAGAUCAAGGCAUUGAGACGUCAACUCUCGUCGACUUAUUGCCAUGGUGAUGAAAAACAAUAAAUUGCAACUAAUUUGUUGUAUUCUAACAUCUCUACAACACGUGUUUGUUCUGAGUGAAGGUCCCCCAUUAGAAGGCAAUGGAUGGCCUAAAAGAUUGUCAUUAGUAAUGCAUCAUGGGAUUGUGGAUUUGAGACAAUGGCAGGAAGAACUAGUUACUGUAGAAAACCAAACUGAGGCUCUUGCUCCAGAGUUAAACACACCUCCUGAUGACGUAAAAU